rnacentral:rRNA from 1 species
AAGCUCGUAGUUGAAUUUCGGGGUUCUACCGUUGGUCGGGCUAACCAGUCUGUACUAGCGUGUAGAAUCCCUACCUUCUGGGGAACCAUCAUGUUAUUAAUUUAGCGUGGUGGGAAACCAGGACCUUUACCUUGAAAAAAUUAGAGUGUUCAAAGCAGGCUUACGUCUGAAUACAUUAGCAUGGAAUAGUAAAAUAGGACGGUGGUCCUGUUUUGUUGGUUUCUGAAUCACCGUAAUGAUUAAUAGGGAUAGUUGGG